rnacentral:rRNA from 1 species
ACUCAAAUGAAUUGACGGGGGCUCACACAAGCGGUGGAGCAUGUGGUUCAAUUCGAAGCAACGCGCAAAACCUUACCUAGGUUUGACAUGCACGGAUUAAGCCGUGGAAACAUGGCCGACGCCCGAAAGGGUGGAACGUGCACAGGUGCUGCAUGGCUGUCGUCAGCUCGUGUCGUGAGAUGUCGGGUUAAGUCCCUUAACGAGCGAAACCCUUGCCGUUAGUUGCCAGCGGGUCAUGCCGGGGACUCUAGCGGGACUGCCGUGGUUAACACGGAGGAAGGUGGGGAUGACGUCAAGUCCUCAUGGCCUUUAUGCCUAGGGCGACACACGUGCUACAAUGGUCGGUACAAAGCGAUGCAAGGCCGCAAGGCGGAGCAAAACGCAAAAAGCCGACCCCAGUACAGAUUGCGGGCUGCAAUUCGCCCGCAUGAAGAUGGAAUCGCUAGUAAUCGCACAUCAGCAUGGGUGCGGUGAAUAUGUUCCUGAGCCUUGUACACACCGCCCGU